AUGACUGCCUUUAGACUGGAGUUUCUCUUUUUCACUGCCCUUCUGGGCUCAGUCAAAACACGAUCUGUUGAUACAACUGGCAUGACGAAUGACCUGAUGGGUGCGGAUGACAACGUGACAGGUGACAUGUGUCAGGACUGCACUCAGAUUUUUGAGCUUCUGAAGGACCUCUUUUCCAAUGGGGACUUCCAGGCCAAAUUAGCAGCCUCUCUUGAGCAACUGUGUGAUGAGUUGCCUGCCCAAAUCACUAAACUCUGCCACACUGAGGUGGAAAAGAUGCUUCCUUUGGCCAUCACCUUCAUUACCAGCAUGAUGCAACCCAAUGACAUCUGUACAUUUCUUGGAUUGUGUGGAGGAUGUGACAUUGACAGGAUUAGAGAUCGGUUGCUUAAUCACAUGUCAAAAACUCUACCAGUGCCAACUAUGAAGAUGGAGACGUCCAUGCAGUGCUCUGUUUGCACAUACAUUAGCAUCAUAACUGUCCUGCUGGAGAGUUUGUGCAAAGAGUUUCCUCCUCUGUUUCAGCCACAGUGCAAUAAGAUGGCUGAAAAAUACAUCCAGCUAUACAUAUAUAUGUAUGUAUAUAUAUAUAUAUUUUCCUACAACAGAAUUUUCCUACAACAGAAUAACUCAAAUGGAGAUAGUCCAGUAACAGAAUGCAGAGUAGCACGGUAAGCACGGUAAGCACGGACGCGUAUUGAAGCGAUGAGAAGAGGAAAUGUUGAAUAAAGUUUUGUUUUCAUCAUGUUAAAAAAGUAAC
ensembl:lncRNA